AGUGAACGCUGGCGGUGGGCCUAACACAUGCAAGUCGAACGGCAGCACAGAGGAGCUUGCUCCUUGGGUGGCGAGUGGCGGACGGGUGAGGAAUACAUCGGAAUCUACUCUGUCGUGGGGGAUAACGUAGGGAAACUUACGCUAAUACCGCAUACGACCUACGGGUGAAAGCAGGGGCUCUUCGGACCUUGCGCGAUUGAAUGAGCCGAUGUCGGAUUAGCUAGUUGGCGGGGUAAAGGCCCACCAAGGCGACGAUCCGUAGCUGGUCUGAGAGGAUGAUCAGCCACACUGGAACUGAGACACGGUCCAGACUCCUACGGGAGGCAGCAGUGGGGAAUAUUGGACAAUGGGCGCAAGCCUGAUCCAGCCAUACCGCGUGGGUGAAGAAGGCCUUCGGGUUGUAAAGCCCUUUUGUUGGGAAAGAAAUCCAUCUGGUUAAUACCCGGGUGGGAUGACGGUACCCAAAGAAUAAGCACCGGCUAACUUCGUGCCAGCCGCCGCGGUAA
rnacentral:rRNA from 1 species